rnacentral:rRNA from 1 species
GAUGAACGCUGGCGGCGUGCCUAAUACAUGCAAGUCGAGCGAACGGACGAUAAGCUUGCUUCUCUGAUGUUAGCGGCGGACGGGUGAGUAACACGUGGAUAACCUACCUAUAAGACUGGGAUAACUUCGUGAAACCGGAGCUAAUACCGGAUGAUAUUUUGAACCGCAUGGUUCAAAAGUUAAUGACGGUCUUGCUGUCACUUAUAGAUGGUUCCGCGCUGGAUUAGCUAGUUGGUAAGGUAACGGCUUACCAAGGCAACGAUGCAUAGCCGACCUGAGAGGAUGAUCGGCCACACUGGAACUGAGACACGGUCCAGACUCCUACGGGAGGCAGCAGUAGGGAAUCUUCCGCAAUGGGCGAAAGCCUGACGGAGCAACGCCGCGUGAGUGAUGAAGGUCUUCGGAUCGUAAAACUCUGUUAUUAGGGAAGAAAAGAUGUGGAAGUAACUGUGCACAUCUUGACGGUACCUAAUCAGAAAGCAACGGCUAACUACGUG